UGGGGAAUAUUGCACAAUGGGCGCAAGCCUGAUGCAGCCAUGCCGCGUGUAUGAAGAAGGCCUUCGGGUUGUAAAGUACUUUCAGUCGGGAGGAAGGUGGUAAGGUUAAUAACCUUAUCAAUUGACGUUACCGACAGAAGAAGCACCGGCUAACUCCGUGCCAGCAGCCGCGGUAAUACGGAGGGUGCAAGCGUUAAUCGGAAUUACUGGGCGUAAAGCGCACGCAGGCGGUUGAUUGAGUCAGAUGUGAAAUCCCCGGGCUUAACCCGGGAAUUGCAUCUGAUACUGGUCAGCUAGAGUCUUGUAGAGGGGGGUAGAAUUCCAUGUGUAGCGGUGAAAUGCGUAGAGAUGUGGAGGAAUACCGGUGGCGAAAGCGGCCCCCUGGACAAAGACUGACGCUCAGGUGCGAAAGCGUGGGGAGCAAACAGG
rnacentral:rRNA from 1 species